CUGCAGCACAAACAGGUUAAUGUGAAAGUUAAAUAUUUAAAAAAUAUAUAUUUAGAAUUUCGCGCCCUGCACUUGAGCUGGCUGUUGUCAUAAGUGUACCGACGUCGGGCUGCAGCCAUAAGAAGUUAAGGUCGCUGCUCGGGCUCCAAAUGACCUAUCGAGCCGAAACUUGGGUUUCGGGGUUGCCUCAGCUAGGCCUACACAAUGUCAGAACUGGACCCGCAGCUAGAACGUAACUACAUGUUUUUAUUAUGGUUUAAUUGGUGCAGAAAAUCAUUUUUUUCCCGGGCGUCGCUACAUGGUCCUUGAAUGAGCUAUUGGACAGAAACGUUAGGUUCCGUCUCUAUGGACCGAGGUGGUUUCAAUGCACCUAGUCUUGCGACUCUGGGACUUUUCUAAAUGUCGUCUUUUUCGUGAUGGUCAAAAUGAAUUGAAGUUAUUGCAGACGUACGAGGCUGUUUCUCGGUCUGAGAACCUUCUAGAGACGCAACUCACCAUGCACUAUGGACUUGAGCUCUAUAACAGGUUUCAGAGCUCUAGGUCUGAUGGUUCUUUGAUAGUUCAAACAAAGGUAACUAUUGCAGGCUCUGUCUCUAAGCCCCACACUGUGUCACUCCAUCCUUGCUGUGUGUUUUUUCUUUGACAUGUGUUGGGAGAAAUUACUGAUUUACAGUUCAUGAGGGUUGCCUAAUCACACAUGAAGUUUUGGAAAGAUGUGACCUUUCUAACCCUUCAAAACAGCCCACGUGACCCCAAUUUAAGGCACUUCCGGUGGACACGGGAAGCUGAAAGUGAACACAUAUAUCCUCCGUGGUGGUUGGCUCUUACAGUUUUAAGUCUUUACGUUAAGAACUGACUGAUUUACAGAGGGUUGGAUGAGUGUGUGAUUUCAGAAAAUCACAGAAGUCUCGCAGAGCUCCGAAACCCUGCCUUAAUGGAUUCGUUUGAACAUGCCGCAACUGGAUCUAACUUUUUGGAGAAAAAAAACAUUUCUUUUGAUUAGCACCAAUUGUACAUUGUAUGAUUUCUCUUAGAUGAUGGUAGAUAAAUGGCUGGUUCAACUUUUCCGUAGGUUCAUGUACUUUGACGUGAAGCUGUCAAAUUAGCACACUAUUUUCGUUUUUGAAUUUUAAUCCCAGAAAAAUGGCCUAAACUCAAAGCGUUGAGGCCUCGACGCCAUCUUGUUUCUGGGAAAACAGCCCAUUAGUCCAAACCUAUGCUCGCCAUGUUUCGUCUUCGAAGCCUUUUCUGAUUAGGAGAAAUGGCCAUGUCGUGGUUGGUGAUGUUUUGUACAUUUGCAAUAUGAUUCCAUUCGCCAUCUGGUGGAAUUAACGGGACAGCGGAAAAAUUACAUUUUAUGAAACGGAAACUGAAUGUCCGAGAGACUUCGUUCGAUAACUUCCCGGAAGAUCUGGCCCCGGUGCACGACCCGCCACCAAAUUUUUAAAACAUUCGCGUACGUCUAGUAAGGGACCGUACAUUUGCAAUAUGGAGAUUUUCAUCGAUCAUACAGCAAAUAAAAAAAGUGCCCAUGUAUGUAAAGGAAUUACAGGAAUAGCGAUAAAAUUAUUCACUUACUUUUGACUGCAACCAUGAAGAUCUUCAGUCCCAGCUACACAAUAAUUGUUUUUUGUUCGAUAAAGUUCCUUUUUAUGUCCCAAAAACUCAAUUUGGUUGGCACGUUUUUGUUCAGUAAUCCACUGGCUCAAAGGCAGUCAUGACAUGCAGAUGAAUACAUCCUAAUAGUAUCGGUGAAGUUCGUCAACAUGUCAAACGAUGUUUAUAAUUAAUCCUCAGAUUGUCUAAAAUAAUAGAUAAUAUUUCAACCGGACAAUGGCGUUUUCAAUUGAAAGGAAAAAUAACGAAGGGCGCGCAAUCGGUCACUCGCGCCAACCAGCUCUGCUUCUUUCUACAGUCCACUGAAAGUGAAAGAAUGGUCUCAUUCUUCCUCAUUUUUCAGAAAACAAGCCUGAAACAAUGUCUAUAGACUGACAUCCAGUGGAAGCCAUAGGAACUGCAAUCUGGGUCCUAUCCCAUACUGUAUAGGCAUUCAAUUGAAAAGUACCCACAUCAAAAAUAUCCCUCUUCCUGGAUGGAUUUUCCUCAGAUUUUCGACUGUUAUACUCACAGACAUUAUUAUAACAGUUUUGGAAACUUUUGUGUUUUCUACCCAAUAAUACCAUGCAUAUCCUAGCUUCUGGGCCUGAGUAACAGGCAGUUUACAUUGGUCACCUCAUUCAUCCAAAAUUCAAAAUACUGCCCCCUACCCAAGAGAGGUUAAAGUACACAUAAAUGCAUGUGGUUCUAGUUUGUGUGCCUUGCACAUGUGUUGUAUCUAUCUUUCUUUCUGUGCAGCUGAUUUCAUUAUCUGGGCUCGAGAGGCAGGUGCCGGUAAUGGAGGGCCCAGGUCAGGCGCAGCCCACCUUUGAGGAAAGGGAAGAUGGCUCCUCUGGGAUCUCCUACGUUGCUCAGGAACCAGGUGAGGCCAUAAAAGCUCCUCCCUCGGUUGACAUACAAGAUGCUGCUUGAUUGGUCAAUUCAGAAAGGUCGUAACUUGCUUCUGGUGGGGCUGACUGAUCCCACUGUGGUGUGAGGACGUGUCAAACACCUUGGCAACAAUGGCUAUGAUAUCAACUAUGUUAUCAAGGAGGGGGCAGCUAUAUAUUGGCUCUGAAGUGAGGGGAGGAGUAUAUUACAGGGUCUCCUUUCCAUGUCAUUGCCUCUGUUGGGGUUUGUUUCCUUGACAAUCAUUGAUACAUUGAUGACAUUAUCAUUACAAUAUCUUUAAUUAAAUCAUUCAAAAACCUUUAAUGUAAUUGCAGACAGAUGUUGACAUCAGGAACCUAAUGCAUGUUUCUGAGUAAGUCCUGCAAAAAUAUAAAAGGUCCCAAGUUAUUUUAUUAAACCUGAAGUCCAGCCCUUGUGAUGUCAUUGCAUACGUCAUUACCUUAUACUCUUCAGAGCAAGCCCAUGCAUAUAGACCUAUAUAAACUUGCAAGAGAGAUAUAAUAGUUCCAGUGUUUUCUAAGGCCUAGGCAAAAAAUGUCCACUCCAGUUAAUUUAUUGUGGAAUGUCUGACUAGUCUCUUAUCUCCUACACUCUCCUGCAGAGUUCUGUCUCAGUCACACAUUUCUCAGAGGGGGUUCUUUUAUAAGAGGCAUAGAGACCAGAAAACAACUCUAGAACAACACUAAACCUCUAUAAUGAAUAUAUAUUGUUAAUCUGUAGUCUAGGACCCUAUAAGUGUAAUGAGGGUGGGGUCUUAUAACCCCUCCCCUUCUAUUAAUACAGCAUAAUCAAUUAUUAUAAUACAUCAAACAUUUGGUACAGCCCCUAUCAUGACCCAUAGGUGAACUCCUGACACCGCAUAAAGGAGUCUCAUUCUGGGGCUAGACAACAUAAAUCCCAGAGCAAAGAGAUUAUAAGGAGAGGGGGAGAGUGGAGGAGUUUGGGAAAUGGAGUGCAUGAAAGCAAUUCUUUACAGCAAUUAAUUAUAAUACUUAUCAUCGAGAGAAAAAAAUGAUGCAUAUCCAUCUGAAUCUGAUUCUUGGAUGUAUAGCAAUCAUUGCAGUCUUCUGUUAUAUUUGGGCAACCAGAGUUCUUAGUCAAUAGAUGCUUUUAUACUGUAAAAAAACUAUAAACACUUGUUUUUUUACAUUAUAUAUUUUAUUUCAACACUUUGAAUGGACUUAGUUUGCUUUGUAUUGCAUAAAUUACAUCACUCAGACUAUAGACACAUUUAACUGAAUGUUUAACCCUUUAAUCUGUCACGUCUACUCUCCCUCUCCAGCUCUCAACGUCGUCGGUUUACUAACCACUGGUCCUGGCAAUCAUCAUUACACAUGCCUGGCAUCAUCAUUACGCGCACCUGCGCCUCAUUAUGAGGCACACCUGGACUCACUACACUGAUUACCUCCCUAUAUCUGUCACUCCCUUGCCUCCAUUCCCCAGGCAGUAUUGGUUAUGUGUUUCAUGUCCAGACGCAAAUUCUGUUUUGUAUCGUUCUGUUUCUUAUAUUAUUAAACUCACCUCCUGUUCUUGA